AGUCUUCAGCAACUGCCACGCUGAUCAGUUAGCAGACAUCAACACUGAGAUUCCGGCUGUGGGCUCCUUGGAGGAAGAGCAGAGGUGAGGCGCUUCUCAUCCCACCACAUCAGGGGUCCUGCCUCGGCCCGGCUCACUGCUGAUGUUGACCUCGGCUACCUGGCAGAGUGUGCUGGCCAGGUUUCUCCAGCAUGAAGUCACUCUCGUUUCCCUUGGCGAUGCUCCUUCCAUCAAAACCAGAGUGUCCCAGCUCUAGAUUCCCCACCCAAUCUCCUGUGGCUGUCUCAGCACCUCCGUCGUGAAUCCGUGCAUCCCUUCAGACGACUGCCUUCCGAUGCGGCCCCUGACCUGCCCCCCCUCCCAUCACUGAAUAGGACUCCUUUUCUCCUGGAUUUCCUGUAGGAAGUUUCAAAAUGCUCUCCAGGUUUUCUGUGGGUGGAUUAUCUCUCUGGAUCUUUCUAAGUGAGUCCUGUGUUUCACCACAGCUCCCCCCACACAGUUGAGCAGCUAUACCGUGGGGAGGCUUGGUCCUCUUGCCCCAUUUGUGUGAUGUCUAUUGUAGUCAUGCCAGGGGCCUGACGUCAGAGCUCCACCCUGACAUGUGCUCAUGCCGGUUUACAAACCCUCCCAGGACCAGGCCCCCAUCCCUCUUCCAGGACAGGCUCUGGAGCUCCAGCUAUUAACAGAAACAUUCCAGCCAGCAUCCCCAGCGACCCUCAGCCUCCCACGCCGCUGUGUCUUCAUGACCACAGCCUGGCCACCACACAGCUCCCCCUCGAGGACUGUGACCACUUCCAGCCAUGGUCUCUUUGGGCCAUGCGGGAUAUAUUCCCAUUUCCCCAUUCAGCUGGGAGAUUUUACCAAGGGAUUUUUCUCUCCUGGCUCCAAUGCCAGCAAGACCAUGAACAGCUGUGUCAUUUUCACUUUCAAGCCUCAGCUUCUGUACAUAAAAGAAUACAGUUAAUAAUGAUUUCCUCCUCCUGAGUUGCUAUCGAAUGAAAUGAGGUUAUGCACACACAUGGCAAGGACCUGCGUCUGGCAGGAACAACAUCUCGUUCAUCGUCACGAGUGCUUCCCCUUGUGUCUUCCCUCCUGUGUGUGAGAUGGGGGCUCCCAGGCCUCCCCAACAAAAUACACUUUUCCAGCUUUUAGAGGCCAGCAUUCCUAACUCCUUGCAAUAAAUCCCUAUCAUAGUACAAAUGUAAACACAUCACGGUAUAACUCAAAUCAACUGCCCCUGAUUUUGCCAUGUUUCAACCUUUUGUUGCCAUCGGCCUCCUAAACAAUGGCUUUAAUGGAAACACAGGUAUGUAAGCUUGGAAGCUGCUCAAACAUCUCAGUCAUUCAGAAAUAAAACACUUGUUGAGCA
rnacentral:lncRNA from 1 species